AGAACGAACGCUGGCGGCAUGCCUAAUACAUGCAAGUCGAACGAACACUUCGGUGUUAGUGGCGCACGGGUGCGUAACGCGUGGGAAUCUGCCCUUGGGUUCGGAAUAACAGUUGGAAACGACUGCUAAUACCGGAUGAUGACGAAAGUCCAAAGAUUUAUCGCCCAGGGAUGAGCCCGCGUAGGAUUAGCUAGUUGGUGAGGUAAAGGCUCACCAAGGCGACGAUCCUUAGCUGGUCUGAGAGGAUGAUCAGCCACACUGGGACUGAGACACGGCCCAGACUCCUACGGGAGCAGCAGUAGGAAUAUGGACAAUGGGCGCAAGCCUGAUCCAGCAAUGCCGCGUGAGUGAUGAAGGCCUUAAGGGUUGUAAAGUCCUUACUUUUACCCGAGUAUGAAUAAUGAACAGUUA
rnacentral:rRNA from 1 species